GACUGGGAAUGGAGAGAAACGCAGAACUUAAUCCAUUGGCAUCAGAUCCUGGGCCAAUUAAUCCAGAUGAGCUUCUGAAGGGCUGUUUGUAGACUUGACCUUCUCCUCAUGAUGUCAUCGUGCUCCGCCUCCUCUUCUUGUCAUAGUGGAGCACUCAUUUACAUUACGCUAAUGAACGAGGGCUGCGGAGGCUCAGUUACGCUGUUAAAAUUCAACUUCAGAACAUUUCAGCUGAUCUUGUCUAGUCUGAGUGAGCAAUUCAGAAUAAGAUGCAGUGUGGACCAGGCUUUAUGCUAGAAGUCAGAAAUCUGCCUACGCAAGAGUAAGCGUCUGUUAGUGAUUGAUGGAUCCAUAAAGUAAACUGCAGUCGACUGUCAACCUACUCUGGAGGUCAA